rnacentral:rRNA from 1 species
GACGAACGCUGGCGGCGUGCUUAACACAUGCAAGUCGAACGGAGAGGCCCUUCGGGGUACUCGAGUGGCGAACGGGUGAGUAACACGUGGGUGAUCUGCCCUGCACUUUGGGAUAAGCCUGGGAAACUGGGUCUAAUACCGAAUAGGACCACGCGCUUCAUGGUGUGUGGUGGAAAGCUUUUGCGGUGUGGGAUGGGCCCGCGGCCUAUCAGCUUGUUGGUGGGGUAAUGGCCUACCAAGGCGACGACGGGUAGCCGGCCUAAGAGGGUGACCGGCCACACUGGGACUGAGAUACGGCCCAGACUCCUACGGGAGGCAGCAGUGGGGAAUAUUGCACAAUGGGCGCAAGCCUGAUGCAGCGACGCCGCGUGAGGGAUGACGGCCUUCGGGUUGUAAACCUCUUUCAAUAGGGACGAAGCGCAAGUGACGGUACCUAUAGAAGAAGCACCGGCCAACUACGUG